rnacentral:rRNA from 1 species
AAUCAACGCUGGCGGCGUGCCUCAGACAUGCAAGUCGAACGCGAAAGUUUCCUUCGGGGAACAAGUAGAGUGGCGCACGGGUGAGUAACACGUAGGUAAUCUACCUUUGGAUGGGGAAUAACAACCGGAAACGGUUGCUAAUACCGCAUAAUGCAGCGGCACCUAAUGGUGACAGUUGUUAAAGCGGGGGAUCGAAAGACCUCGCGUCUGAAGAGGAGCCUGCGGCGGAUUAGCAGUUGGUAAGGUAAUGGCUUACCAAGGCGACGAUCCGUAACCGGCCUGAGAGGGCGGUCGGUCACACUGACACUGACAUACGGGUCAGACUCCUACGGGAGCAGCAGUCGGGAAUUUGGGCAAUGGGCGAAAGCCUGACCCAGCAACGCCGCGUGAAGGAUGAAAUCCC